GCGGGCAUCGUAUAAAGGCUAUUACCUCAGCCUUCCAAGCUGAUGAUGCGGGUUCGAUUCCCGCUGCCCGCUCCA
rnacentral:tRNA from 3 species